rnacentral:lncRNA from 1 species
AAACCACGCUCACAGAGCAGAGGAGAACGCUCCUAUCAAGAAGGAGCAUCGGGGGCCGGCCCUGUAGCCGAGUGGUUAAGUUCGAGCUCUGCUUCGGCAGCCCAGGGUUUCGCCAGUUCGGAUUCUGGGCGCGGACAUGGCGCCACUCAUAAGGCCAUGCUGAGAUGGCGUCUCACAUAGCACAACUAGAAGGACCUACAACCAGAAUGUAAAACUAUGUUCUGGAGGUCUUUUGGGUGAAGAAGAAGAAAAAAGAAGAAGAAUGGUAACAGACUUUAGCUCAGGUGCUAAUCUUAAAAAAAAAAAAAAAAAAAAAAAGAAUAAGCCUCUAUCUUGCAGGCAAAGCAGAAAUGGAAGAUUCGUCUUUGCCCUUGCCUAUUACCCACCACAGAGGACCACAGCUUGUGGGAGAGAAGGGGUAAAUCAAGAAUUCAGCCAAUCGAGAUGGGAAAGGACAGCAUUCCAGAUACGGAACCCCAAGAGGUUGGAGAGGGAAACCUGAAUAAAGGGAAUGACAGCAGAGACUUUUUUAAAGUGCUGGAAGUCAGUGAAAUAUUGUGACCCCAUUAUGGAGCACCAGACAUCCAAGUUCAAAUUCUGGAUCUGCCACUUGCCAAGGGGAAGGUUGUCAUGUUUUCUGAACUCUCUCAGCCUCAAAGUUGUUCCACAGAUAAAAUCUAUAUAAGUAUGGUAAAUGAAACUUUCUCUCUUAAUUUCAUUACAAAUAUUGUUAUGUGAUGACUAAAAAUGUGAUUUGCUUUUCUUAAAAAUAUUGUAAUAAGUGCUAUUUGGCUUUUUAUAAUCUUAAGUUUAUAGCUCUAGAAGACUCUGCAUCCUAAGGUCACUGAUUUUCUCCUAAUUUCAAAAUUAAAUAGUUCAAU